UAUGUUUACAUUAUACACUACGCUGCUACUACGAUUUUGGCAGUGAUUCAAAUCCUUGAUUAUGACGUCACGCUUCACAGUCUAGACGAUCUAGCCAGCCAGCCGGUUCAAACUGGAUUUCCUCAAAACAAUAACAAACCUGGAUUUUCUGAAAACAAAGAACACUAACACACAAUAACAAGGGAAUUUUUAUUCAGAAUGAAAAAAAUACAUUUACAUUUUCUUCUUCUUCUGUCCCUUAUCGGUCAUCAGGGGUAGUUUCCUCUUGGGUUCCUGAGGCUUUUUCUCCAGUUUUUGUAUUUCUUUGACAAAUUGUUGAUCCUCCUCAUUCUCUGUACACUGAUUAGCCCAAUGACCAGAUUUCCCGCACUUAUAGCACGAAUCCUGUUUUUUUCGGGGACAAUCUGGGGCCCAAUGCCCUAACUCUUUGCAGAUGAAGCAUGGAUCCACCUGUCUGGUUUUCUUUUUUUCUCCUGAUCCCCCUUCUUUUUCUGGAAAGUGCUUCCUCCUUUCAUUUUAGUAAUGUAACUUUUCAGAUCAGUCAGCUUGUUGUCAAUAUCACUCACCUUGUUGUCAAUACCAGACAGCAUGUUGACAAUUCCAUCCAGAGUUGUAUUCAAGAUGCCCAUAUCUUCUUUAUUCAUGUAUUCUUGAAAACUAUAGGGGGCUCCUACAUAUUCUUCAGGUGUCACAUAGCUGGGGUUGUCUGGGGUAUUCAUCAUUGCUUCUUCCAUAAUAUUUUUCACGUCUGUCAAGUUCGAAGUGUCAAGCAAGACUGAUUGUCAAAUUUUACAGUUUUUUGCUUUAUAUACCUGCUGUGGGGCGAGUGCACGUUUUACCUACGUUUUUUAUGCUGACUACACAGGUAAUACUUGGCAGCGAUUCAAGUUUGUUAAGGGCCGUGUGCAAAAAAUAUGCUGACUACACAGGUAAAUACUUGGCAGCGAUUCAAGUCAGGGGGGCCGUGUGCACCUUUGACCUACCUUUUUAUACCUGUUGCAUCAUCUGUAAGGGGGGCCGUGUGCAAAAAUACGAUAGACCUACGUUUUUUAUGCUGACUACACAGGUAAAUACUUGGCAGCGAUUCAAGUCAGGGGGGCCGUAUGGGGAGACUAGCUACCAUACAUUUUCUAUGUCGACAUAUGAAAACAAUUCUGCCCCAGAAAUGGUACGGACUGAACCUGACCCGUUAUUUCGGAAAGCCUUACAGUUUCCUGACUCAUCCCCAAGCGGGCAAAGUGAUUUUACUGUGGCAGGACAUAGAAGCGAUGGAGAAAGUAUGUAUUCAAUACGGAAUGAAAUACCUGGAAAUUUCACACAGGCUAGGAAAUCCGUGACUUUUAAUACCAGCCUCAAUCAAAUCUACGAAUUACCCCCCCGAAGACCGGAGAAGUCCCUGGAUGCAAUUAGUAGCGGAUCGAAUACGAUUUCGGAGGAGAAUUCGACAGUUAGAAGCUUUGUUAGUUUUUAAGAAAUAAAAAUAAAAAAAAUCAUGUAAUACUACAUCAGUGUUAUGUUAUUUUUAUGACUUCAUCUUUUAUACAGUCGGGUUCGGCGGCCAUGGCGAAUCUCGGCAAGAUUUUACCCCAGUGAAAAAGGCUUGUAAUCCACCCUUCCUCAACCUGGAAGAUAUGUUUUGUUCCUAACCAUCUAUAAUCCAUUCUCUAUGAAGUGAAGCGUGCUGGCUGCUGGUCUUCCUUUGGAAAAUACACAGGGAAAGAAAAAAACUACUUGAGUGUUUCUGCCUCCCCCCAGAGAUCUGCUUAUGAGUGCAUGGGGAUUGCGGUGAACCUUCAUCUCCUGUUUAAAACAGACUUUAGAGUAUGACAGAUAAAAAGUAGAAUCCAUGACCCUCCAGGCAGGGAGGUGGCUCUGACUGUAGAAUGAGCUGAAAGUAGGAGAAAAGCAGUAUUUAUACAGUGGAUGACGUCACAAUGCAUAGGUAAGCAUAUUUUUUGCACACGGCCCUAAACAAACUUGAAUC